UUUCCGCGAUCUGCUGUUUUCGAUUUGGCUGCCUCCUCGAGCGGUGCAGCCGCUGUUAAAUCGAAUGAUCUUUCUUAAACAGCUGGAUAGACAGAGGAGGAAUCGGAGUUUUGUCGGGGCUGUAAUACCACAGGGGGAGCUUCAGGGCAUCAUGGCGUGCUGUAACCCCACUCCACCACUAGUGCACCAGCAGAUCAAUGCGCUUCAUCAGCUUCUCCUUUACUCAAGAGUAUUGAGCAGCAGCAGAAGGAGGUGCAGGAGAAACGGCAAGCUAAAGAACAAGCCAAGAAAGCUCAAGAGUCACUGCAAAAUGUUCACACUGUUCGGCAGCAAGUAAUGGAAGCAAAGCAAGCUGGACAGAAAAGAGCGAGAGCUGUCAGUGAUGCUGGGGAAGAGAGUCUUAAACCAAACAUUAAUGUCUCAAAGACUGAAAGCGAGACAUCGGUGGCAGAUCAGUCAGCUAAACCUGCUCAGAAAAAAACAGAAAAAGAAGAAUGUUUAAGAGCCUGAAGUUCCCGAACAAAACUUCAAACCUUUUGACUACAGCCAGUCAAAUUUUAAAAUAUUCGCUGGUAAAUUAAAUGAGAGUUCACAGUUUGAUCCAAACAGACAAGCACAUGGACCCAAGCAGAAGCUAUUAACCUGUUUUGAAACGACAAGCAUUUACUGUUAUAGAAAUAUCAGCUUGGUUUGAGUUAGCGGUGCAUGAUCACUGAUUGUUUUUACCAAUUUUGAUUCUUAGAAAAACCAAAAAGGACAGAAGAAAAGCGUUGUGGGUGGCAGGAGCAUGUCUUAUGUACCUGCCAAAUCUGACCGAGGCUUUCGCCCACAACUGGCCCAAGAGAUAGAAGUCUUCACCCCCUUUUGAUAAUAAAUCUAUAAUGCUAUAUAAGCAGCACAUUGACUACUAUAAAAUAUAUCCAAGCUUCAUUUCUAUAGUAUUUCCCCCCUUAAAAAAGAUAUACUAAAAUAGUUGCUGAAAUGUGAGGGGUGUACUCCCUUUUGUGAGAUACUGUGUGUGUGUGUGUGUGUGUGUGUGUGUGUGUGUGUAUAUAUAUAUAUAUAUAUAUAAACUUUUUUUGAUUCACUUCAAAUGUUGACUACUGUAUGCAUAUAUAUAUUGUAAUACCACAGCCUCUAGGUGGCACUGAGCUCUACCUUUUAUCAUCAAACAAACUACUGUGCCAAUCAUUCACUUUUCCAGUGAGAGAAACAUACAGCCUGUCAAGAUUAUGUGAAAUGGAAAUCUUCAAAUGACUGUCAUCAAAGUCGUGUGGAGGAGAAACUGUGCUUUUAUGCAACAGAUAAAAGUCCUUGAAUUUCUCAAAUCAAUUCAGAUGUUUAAUCUCUACAGCCGUUCUGAGAGUGCUAUCAUUAGGACUACACUGUAAGGUUGUUUAAGAACAGCUGGUAUGAUAUGCCCCUGCACACUGAGAGCAGACCACACGCAGGCAUGCAUAACCCUUCACUUCCUGCUGCUCGAGACUGUGGUUCUUUUCUGAACAAUAGGUGCAAAUACUGACAGGAAACACCUCAUUCAACAUGCUUUUGUCAGCUUCUACAAACACAAAGGUGACCUUGUUUUUUCUCGAGUUUAUUUAAAACAACAUAACUUAGGUUGAUAUAUCACGAGAGAUAGUUCACCCAAGAAUGAAACUGGGGGUUUUUCUAACCUCCAUGUUUCUCCAAACUUGCAUGACUUUAAACGCAAAAGAAGAUCUUUUAAUGAUCUUUUGAAGAACGUUGAUAACCAAACUGUUGCGAUUCCCACUGACUAACAUUAUAUUUUUGGACCAUACAAUUAAAGUCAAUGGAAGCUGAAAUGGUUUGGUUAUCAACUUUCUUCAAAUGAUCUUCUGUGUUCCACAGAAGAAACUCAAACAGGCUUGGAAUUAUGUGAGUAAAUGACACUUUUCAUUUUUAGGUCUUUACUAUCUCUUUAAGCAAAGAUUAACAACAUUUGUGUUACAAGUCAUAAAUACGUAUUUUGUUUGGCAUUUUCAACAAAAAAUGACAUCAAACACUGAUACCAUUAAUGAUGCUUCUUUGUGCUUCUUGUGAUGCAUCAUUCUCUGAUUGUGGUUGUAUUUGUAAUAAGAUCAACACUGAUUAAGUUCCAAAAAAAGUGUGAGUGGAGUGGAAAUGGAUGCGUGUGCCACCCAGCUGUGUUCCCCCUCCCACUCGCACACUCCUCUGUCGUUCUUUCCUUCAGUCGUUUUCUCUUUUAUGUCCGCCAGGAGCGCGUCCACACAGGAAACUGUGACAUCUUUGUCUCCAGCACCCACUCUUGAACAACACCAAUGAGUCAGUGCUCCUCUCUGGGACUUUCAUCUGACACCGCUUUCGCUCUUACACAGUUUUUACGCAGAAAUACACUAAUGAAAAUAGAUGCUUUUUUUCGUUUCCGGGUUCGUUUCUGCAAAGUGUUUCAUCCCAUAUCACAGCAUCAAGAGACCGAAGUCAAUCAAACACUCGUCCUCCAGUCUUCCACUCAUGUGUCCCAGAGCUGACAGCAGUCAUCACAGUCCUCAGUCAUGUAGAGGUACGAGUUAAUGGCCUCCUUCAGUCCUUCGCUCACUAGAGAGUUCUCCGCACCGUCUUUACUCUGCCCGAAGAUCAUGGAGCUGCAAAGAGAACUUGUUUAGAAACCGCUCCACUAGGUGCUUAUUUUUUGGGAUAGGUCAUUGAAAAAAAUGUCAAAUCUGUCUUCGUCAACUCAAGUUGUUCCAAAUCUUUAUGAAUUUCUUUAUUCUUUUAAAGAAUCUAACCAAAUGAUGGUUUGCUGGUUGCCAAUUGACUUGGAACAAAACAUCAUGGAAGUCAAUGGUUACCAACAUUCUUAAAAUUUCUCAUCGUACAGAUGAGUAAACGAUGCCUGAUUUUAUAAUCUCUCUGUUUAAAGUCACUUCAUUCACCUGUUUACGUCUUUCCAGUUUAUAGUGGGCCUCUUCACAGCAACCGGAGGCGGGCCGGUGACCACUGGAACAUUGUUGGAUCCAAUGAUGUAGCAUGGCUCCCCCAGAGUACAGCACAGCCCGUCCGAAACUUCUGAGGGACAGUUCACACUUAAAAUCUGCCACAACACUUUUUAGCCAUAAUGUAUAUAUUUCUAGCAUUUUGCUAUGUGGCUGCUAAGGAGUUUUCGGGUGAUUUCCAGUAAUAUUUACUUAAUGGUGCACAACAAUCAACUUUUUUUGUUUUGUUUCUGUUUCCGACGAUACAAUGGCGGUCUUUGGCUAUUGACACCUAUCAGCGUGGGAACAGCAUCUAGUUUUUUAGCUGUAGAAUUGCCAUAUUCUCAGUCAUUUUCUUCACCCAAAAUCUUUUCCAUCACUGAAAACUAUGAAAUAUAGAAUAGGUUUUUACAGGCACUGGAAUGACUGGACUUCACCUUUCGUGCAAAUCCAAUUGAUUUAAACAUUUCCUCAAAACUAUUAGUCAGUAUCAUGUAUGACACAACUGGGCAACUUCGGUCCUGGAGGGCCACUGUCCUACAGAGUUUAGCUUAACCCUAAUCAAAUACACCUGAACAAGCUAAUCAAUGUCUUCAAGAUCACUAGCAAGCUACAGACAGGUGUGUUUGAUUAGGGUUGGAGCUAAACUCUACAGGACGGUGGCCCUUCAGGACCGAAGCUGCCCAGCUCUGAUGUAAGACAUCAGUAUCAAACCCAGUAAUGUCACAUACAAUCCCUGGGUGUCAGUAAUGAGUUACUGGCUGCAUCUGUGUGUGUGUGUGUGUGUGUACCUGAAUAGUGUGCGACCAGGUCUGAGAGGGUCCUGAAGGUGAGUCUGGGAGAGAUGUAGAUCCAGCCGUUCUCAAUGCAGCUGAUACGGUAGUGUCUGACAGAAGCGCGCUCCUGCGAGCUGCUCUUAAGCACUGACAGAGUGUGGUUACCUGGGUUUAAAAAUAAAUAAAGUACAUUUAUACAAA